UUUCACCUGCAGUUGAAGAUCCGUGAGGUGCCCAGAAGAUCAUGCAGUCAUCAGUCCCACGGAGCAGCCCGCGAGGCUGAGGCUCCUCCCACUGGACCGCCCCCCAACUGGCACCACUGCUGCCCCUGCCUCUACUCUCAGCCUCACGUGACUCUCGGGCAGAGGCAGUGGUGGGGCAGCCAGGGCAGCGUCAGAGUCUGAGCCAGCUGCACGACAAGUUCGAGCAUCUUAAAAUGAUUCAACAGGAGGAGAUAAGGAAGCUCGAGGAAGAGAAAAAACAACUGGAAGGAGAAAUCAUAGAUUUUUAUAAAAUGAAAGCUGCCUCUGAAGCACUGCAGACUCAGCUGAG
rnacentral:lncRNA from 1 species